CUUUUAUUUCCUCACCCGCGUGCCCUAAAACCCACGCCGACACCUUCCUCUCCCGAUUCUCCCUUCGCGUCGAACCGCCGCCGUCCCUCCCUCAUCGAGCCGAUGUCUCCUCUUCGCGUGAGGCUAGGACGAUGAUGCCGCUAGCCACGGGAGAAUCGUUGUCGCUCUUACCUUCGCCGGCGAUCCUCAUCCUCGACGCACGCCGCACCCGAUCGACCCGGUGCUGCACAUCUCGGUGACAACAAAGCUUAUACCUCUUCUAUUCCCUAAUUUGAAGAUUCUCCGGUGGAUCUUCUCUUCGGCUAGCCAUCUCACGUAUGGCUUCGGUGGCCGGAGGUCGGCAGAUCGGAGCCCUAGGUCCACCGGAGUGAGGCUAGGGUUCCAACGACAAAUCUUUGGAUUGAAUCGACAUUCCAAAAGGUUGUCUUCCCUUUCGUGGCAUUGCAACCAAUUUCCACCACCGAAACCUUCAUCACGUAUCUGAUGUAGUGUUUCUAGCGGUUGGAGUUGUUGUGGCCAACAGAAGCGCAACUGGUUGCAGAGCGAUCACAGAGGUGCCGAAGGAUUGGAGUGAGGGGAUCAGAUCUGAAAUUGUUAGAGGAAGCUAAGGAUUUUGAUCGAGGCAGGUGUCGUGACGAAGUGGAUAUCGGAUUCAGACUACAUUUAGAGGCGGGU